ACCUGCCUGAGGCACCCAAGGAAGAAGGAGUCUGUGAGUUGUUUCCCGCCAGAGUGUACUCAUAUACAGAUAUUUCCUGGUGUCAAAAGUGAAAGUAAACCCCGGGUGUUGCAAUCGUGACACGUUGGCACUGAGAAAAGCUUAUUUUGGAUACCAAAAAGUGUGUGUAGUGAUCAACCAUGGUGAUCAGUUCGGCUCAGCUGCUUAACAUUAUGGAGGAUCUGGACUCAGACGGGUUGAAGAGAUUUCAGUGGUUCCUGACUCAGGGUGUGUUGAAUGACUAUCCUCCCAUCCCAAAGAGCUUGCUGGAGAAUAGAGACAGGAUGGACACAGUGGAUAAGAUGGUGCAGAGCUACAGACUGGACGGUGCUGUGACAAUCACUCUGAAGAUCCUGGAGAAGAUGAACCAGAAUAGUCUCGCUGGGAAGUUAAAAAAAUACAUAUAGCUAGAGAGAAGAGGCUCAGUGGCUCUACUGACCAAGCUGAUAAAUAAGGAUAAAGCUAAGGGGAGAUUCUACCUGGCCCUGUCAGAGGACCUGGAGAAGCAGACAACAUCCUGAAAGAUGUCAUGCAUACAGCAAGAUUAAAGGUUUGUUGUUCUGAAUUCAACACAAACCAAACGAGAAUGAGCAAGAACAUCUUCAUUUGCCUUGCUGUUUCAAACAAAAGGACAUUACUGUAUACUAAUAAACUGAUCCAGCAGGGGUUGUUACAAGGCAAA